rnacentral:rRNA from 1 species
AGAGAGAGACAUGCGCGCAUAUCAAUAAGCGGAGGAAAAGAAACUAACAAGGAUUCCCUUAGUAACGGCGAGUGAAGCGGGAAGAGCUCAAAUUUGAAAUCUUCAAGGUUCUACCUUGACGAAUUGUAGUUUAAAGAAGUGUUUUCUGUUGAAGUUUUGGUAAAAGUUCUUUGGAAUAGGACAUCAUAGAGGGUGAGAAUCCCGUAUUUGACCAUUAUUUUCCAGCUUUGUGAUACACUUUCAAAGAGUCGGAUUGUUUGGGAAUGCAGUCCAAAAUGGGUGGUAAAUUUCAUCUGAAGCUAAAUAUUGGCGAGAGACCGAUAGCGAACAAGUACCGUUAGGGAAAGAUGAAAAGAACUUUGAAAAGAGAGUUAAACAGUACGUGAAAUUGUCAAAAGGGAAGCGUUUGACACCAGUGUUGUUUUCUCGAAAAUCAAUUAAAAAUGGCUCGAUUUUGUAUUGCUGAGACCUUAAAAGCUCACUGUACAUUUUUCGUGUCUUUUUUAAUGCACUUUUCGUUUAACAAGUCAACAUCAGUUUCUUUUGUUGUAAAAGGGUCAUUGGAAGGUGGCUUUCUUUUCGGAGAAAGUGUUUAUAGCCUUUGGCCUCUGCAAUCGGAGAGACUGAGGUCUGCAGCGUAGACUCUUCGGGGUUAGAUACAUUUGUGCUAAGUUAUAGCUUUUUAUAGACAACUUGUUGACUAUAAUUAGUCUUGUAGCUUACUCGCUUAUGCUAUUUUACCUACGCUUAGGAUGUUGAAGAUGUAGCACAUCAU